AAUCAACGCUGGCGGCGUGCCUCGGACAUGCAAGUCGAACGAUUAAAGCCCUCUUCGGAGGGUGCAUAAAGUGGCGCACGGGUGAGUAACACGUAAGUAAUCUACUUUCGAGUGGGGAAUAACGUUCGGAAACGAACGCUAAUACCGCACAAUGCAGCGGCAUCUAUGAUGACAGUUGUUAAAGAUUUAUCGCUUGAAGAGGAGCUUGCGGCAGAUUAGCUAGUUGGUAAGGUAACGGCUUACCAAGGCGACGAUCUGUAUCCGGUCUAAGAGGACGGUCGGACACACUGACACUGAAUAACGGGUCAGACUCCUACGGGAGGCAGCAGUCGGGAAUUUUGGGCAAUGGGCGAAAGCCUGACCCAGCAACGCCGCGUGAAGGAUGAAGUUUUUCGGAAUGUAAACUUCGUAAGAAUAGGAAGAAUAAAUGACGGUACUAUUUGUAAGGUCCGGCUAACUACGUGCCAGCAGCCGCAGUAA
rnacentral:rRNA from 1 species